GAUGAACGCUGGCGGCGUGCCUAAUACAUGCAAGUCGAGCGAACGGACGAGAAGCUUGCUUCUCUGAUGUUAGCGGCGGACGGGUGAGUAACACGUGGAUAACCUACCUAUAAGACUGGGAUAACUUCGGGAAACCGGAGCUAAUACCGGAUAAUAUUUUGAACCGCAUGGUUCAAAAGUAAAAGACGGUCUUGCUGUCACUUAUAGAUGGAUCCGCGCUGCAUUAGCUAGUUGGUAAGGUAACGGCUUACCAAGGCAACGAUGCAUAGCCGACCUGAGAGGGUGAUCGGCCACACUGGAACUGAGACACGGUCCAGACUCCUACGGGAGGCAGCAGUAGGGAAUCUUCCGCAAUGGGCGAAAGCCUGACGGAGCAACGCCGCGUGAGUGAUGAAGGUCUUCGGAUCGUAAAACUCUGUUAUUAGGGAAGAACAUAUGUGUAAGUAACUGUGCACAUCUUGACGGUACCUAAUCAGAAAGCCACGGCUAACUACGUGCCAGCAGCCGCGGUAAUACGUAGGUGGCAAGCGUUAUCCGGAAUUAUUGGGCGUAAAGCGCGCGUAGCGGUUUUUAAGUCUGAUGUGAAAGCCCACGGCUCAACCGUGGAGGGUCAUUGGAAACUGGAAAACUUGAGUGCAGAAGAGGAAAGUGGAAUUCCAUGUGUAGCGGUGAAAUGCGCAGAGAUAUGGAGGAACACCAGUGGCGAAGGCGACUUUCUGGUCUGUAACUGACGCUGAUGUGCGAAAGCGUGGGGAUCAAACAGGAUUAGAUACCCUGGUAGUCCACGCCGUAAACGAUGAGUGCUAAGUGUUAGGGGGUUUCCGCCCCUUAGUGCUGCAGCUAACGCAUUAAGCACUCCGCCUGGGGAGUACGACCGCAAGGUUGAAACUCAAAGGAAUUGACGGGGACCCGCACAAGCGGUGGAGCAUGUGGUUUAAUUCGAAGCAACGCGAAGAACCUUACCAAAUCUUGACAUCCUUUGACAACUCUAGAGAUAGAGCCUUCCCCUUCGGGGGACAAAGUGACAGGUGGUGCAUGGUUGUCGUCAGCUCGUGUCGUGAGAUGUUGGGUUAAGUCCCGCAACGAGCGCAACCCUUAAGCUUAGUUGCCAUCAUUAAGUUGGGCACUCUAAGUUGACUGCCGGUGACAAACCGGAGGAAGGUGGGGAUGACGUCAAAUCAUCAUGCCCCUUAUGAUUUGGGCUACACACGUGCUACAAUGGACAAUACAAAGGGCAGCGAAACCGCGAGGUCAAGCAAAUCCCAUAAAGUUGUUCUCAGUUCGGAUUGUAGUCUGCAACUCGACUACAUGAAGCUGGAAUCGCUAGUAAUCGUAGAUCAGCAUGCUACGGUGAAUACGUUCCCGGGUCU
rnacentral:rRNA from 1 species